UAUGGUUAGCGAAAAAUAUGAUUGGGCUUUAUUAAAUCUUUGAGCCUGUUCCAUGAACACCUCCAAUUCAAUACAGUUUUCUAAUUAAUUUUAAUUGACCAUAAGGAACAUUAGUUAACCAAGGGGGGUAAUGGCAACUGUCCAAGCUAAUUAAAUUAUUUACAUAUACUUUACAUGAUUGUCAUUGAUAUACAUUAAAAAUUAAAUAAGUUUGUUCUCUGGUUCCUUUUAAACACACAAAAUCCUCUUCAAUGUAUCUCUUAUAGAGGAUCAGGUUUGAACACCCAGCAUUCCUAUUCCACAUAGAGAUAUCUUCCAAAUUAGAUCGGAACAUAUUGGCAUAGCUGGGUGCAAACAUGGUCCCCAUAGUUGUGCCACUUACUUCUAGAUACAUUUCCUCAUCAUACCAGAAAAAAAUUAUAGUAUGAAUAAAAGUAAUGCAAAAGAAAAUGAAUUCAGUUUGCUCCACUUGUAAAUCAGAGGGAAUAUAUAGG